GUUCAGCAAGUAGUGGUGGUGGCAGCCCCUGUUUCUACCUCCCCUGAGAGACCCAGCCCACAGGGUGGCCCCCUCAGCAGCAGCCUCCCACGGGGCUGGACAGAGAGCCUCGGGCCCUCCCAGCCCCUGGUAGCCCACAGGUACAGAUGCAGAGCUGGCAAGAUAUCGUCAACAAAGUGAAUGCCCAACAGAAGAGCCAACAGUAUCCCCCGAGCAGCCAGCCCCAGAGGCAGGACCAGCCUCUUCUGCCUGCCAACCCAGGAGAAGGGGUAGAGCGCCCAGCACCUGACAAAGAAGACCGCAGAAGAGCAGCAACUGAUGAGGAGGAGCUAGAGAUGGAUGCUGGCAUGAUUGAGCGGGAGGAAAACGUUCGGCCCAGGAAGGAGCCAGAGGCCCAGGGCCCAGUGGGGCCUGAUGCCCUCGCAGACCCUGCCCGCGAUCCCAACAACCAGGGUGAGGAUGAAUUUGAAGAGGCAGAGGCAGAGCGACCACAGUUGGAAGAGGGGGCCCCGAGACCCCAGCAAGCUCAGGAGCCCCAGGAACAAGGGCCAGGGAAGCAGGGCCAGGUGAUGAAUGAGGCAGAGCCCAGGGCAGGGGGGUGGACACCGGCUACUCUGAUUCGGAUGUUGAUGUUCUCAGAGGCCCAGCCUAGUGACCUUUGUCCCUUGGUUCAGGACCCCAGGACUGGCACAGAGCUACUGAGUGACCACCACGAUGACCAGGAACUGGUCAGGCCUGAAGUAGUGAGGGCACUGAGGGCCUUGGGCCGCUUCGGUGUUGGUCUGGGGGCUUCCACAUAG
rnacentral:lncRNA from 1 species